UCCGAAGUAGCUCAAGGGUGGAGCACUCGACUGUUAAUCGAUAGGCUGUGGGUUCGAAUCCCACCUUCGGAGCCA
rnacentral:tRNA from 1 species